CCCAGGUUCACGCCAUUCUCCUGCCUCAGCCUCCCAAGUAGUUGGGACUACAGGCGCCCGCUACCAUGCCUGGCUAAUUUUUUUGUAAUUUUAGUAGAGUCGGGGUUUCACCAUGUUAGCCAGGAUGGUCUCGCUAUCCUGACCUCCUGAUCCACCAGCCUCGGCCUCCCCAAGUGCUGGGAUUACAGGCGUGAGCCACCGCGCCCAGCCUACAGUGCUUCUUUAAGGCUAAGAAAGCCUUCACUUCCAACAGCAGUAUCUCUUGGAAGGCCAGUUUUGAAGAAACAAAGUGGCCAUUCCCUUUUUUUUCCUUCCUGCUUCUUAUGCACUGGAAUCAUUGGGAUCUAUAGGACUGAUCAACCGCAGCAGUUUUAACAGGUUGCAUCCAGCUGCAUUCCCCUGCGAUUUGUGAGACCACCUCUGUGACUCUAAUUGUGGCUGAGACUUCAGCUCCAUUUGCAAGUACACCUGGAUUCUGGCCCUGACUCUCACAGUGAUUAGUUGUGUGACUAUGGGGGGAAUAAUUUGGACCUGGAAAAUUUCCUGUGAGGACUCAAGGAGCACAUGGCCUGCUGAAAUCCAUGAACUACUAGACUGCCUCUAUUCACCUGAUGUCCUGCUUUUCACCCAGCCUCUUCACCGCAGCCUUUAUGAUGGAGAAUAGAGGAGGAGGAGGGACACAGAGCCUCUUCUAACUCCAGCCACAUUUACCUGGGCCUUGUUUCUAGGCAGUGGAAAGCCAGGAAGGAGAGUCAAGAAAGGUACAGAUGAGUCAUCAAUUCCCUUUGUGCUGCUAGAACAAGUGUCAGAGGGAAGCCAUGUACCUGUCUGCCCAUUGACACUCAGACAACCAUUGUACUAUAAGAAGCACUUGGCUGCCUGACAAAGAAUGGAAAAUAAACAUGGCAAGGCCAAGAUGUCCAAGAUGAGUCAACUGGGCAGUGGUGGCAGGAGAGCAACAAUGAAGAGUCCUAGCGUUUUGCACAGCUUGAAUAUUGAAUUGAACCCUGCAGUAUGCUGGGCCCCAGGGAUGCAGAGAUGACGCACUGCAUGCCCUGCCUUGGAGAAGAAGUCAAGUGGUGAAACCAGGCAAGUGCCAUGCCAUUAGAGUGCCCUGUGGUCAAGAUGUACUCCAAAAGGAUCUGAGACUAAAUAUCAGUGUGUGAGCAGCUCUACUUCCUACUGGAGGCACAAGCUGGUUCCUAAAGGAUGACAAGGCACUUGCCCAGGGCAAAGGCCUUGAAAUAGGUGGCCAGCAAGUGACAACUGGGUCAUGGCAACCCAAAUGUGUCCAGAUGCCAGGAGAGGCUUAGUCAAAUACAAGUCGGCAUACAAAUUGAGUGUCCUCUUUGAAGCUUAGAGCAGUUGAGCAGUUAGGGUAAAUCUUCUUAACUUGAGGCAUGCAAGGCCCUACAGAUCCCCUCUCCUCGCAUCUGGCUCCAGUCACCCUUUCCAACCUCAUUGCCAUUACUGGCUCCUAUCCUACCCUCUACCCACUUCACUAAACACACCCUGUAUUUUCCUGCCUUUGUGCCUUUCCAGGUACAGUCUGAUCACCCAGAGUCCUCUUCUCCAUCUCUGCCUCUGGUAGAGUCCAGUCAAUCAAUUAAGGUCAAAUUCCUCCUCCAAUAGACCCGACCCUUGGGGCAUAUCCACCAUCUCUACCCACAUGCCACCAGAAAGAAUCAAUCUCUCCUUCCCUUUUGUGCCCAGAACACUUAGUACCUCUGUUAAGAACUUGACACAACCUGCCUUGUGUAGCCAAAUGGUUAAGAACACAAGCUGUGGUUUCAAGAGAGCAGACUUAGAAACACCACCUGUGUGACCUCGGGUAAAUUUACUAACCAUUCGAGCCCUCAGUGUCAUGAUCUGUAUAAUGAGAAUGAUAAUAGUGUCUACUUACUGGAGUUAUUUUUAGGAUUAUAUGAGAUAAUGCAUCUAAAGCAUAGUGCCUGACACAUAAUAAGCAUUCAAUAAAUUGUAGCUCAUUUUGUUAUAUGGCCAUGUUGUCCCCAA
rnacentral:lncRNA from 1 species